CACUCAGAAACGUGGAUUGCGACCUCUGCGCGACUUCUCCGAAGGGAGGUUCUUCUCUCUCUCUCUCUCUCUCUCUUACUCGCUCUUUCUUCACUGGUGACUCGUUCCCUCCCCACCACUUAUUUCACUAUCCAUCUUUCUUCAGUGUACAAAAUUCUAUCUCUCUCUCUCUCGUUUUCCAAACUUCCCCCGCCACCUAUUUUACUAGCAACAAAAACCCCUCUUUGCCCCCCCCCACCCCUUCCUCCCUCCGUUUAAACUAAACGAGAAAUCUACCACAGAACUGAGAUUCACAGCAGCUGAAAGCAUCAGCAGAACGACAAGUAGCGCGCUGUCGGUCAAUUCUAUAUAUGCGGAGUAAACGCGAAACAAAUCGCCACGCGUUUCUUCACUCACCGCUGGGACAGUAUAUAAAUAAAUUUUUUUUUUCCUUUAAUUCAGUGAUUCAAUUUUUAUUAUUAUCUAUAAAAAGGGUUUAAUUUUUCUCUCUAGAUUUUUUGUGGUUUUUUUCUUUCUUUUUAAUUUCAGAAAAAAGUGACGAGAAAAUUGUGCAAUAUAUAUAUAUAUAUUUUUUUUUAAUGUAAAUUCUGUGUUUAGUGAUCAAAAGUUGUUUUGUUUAAGAAAACUUUUUUGAGGGUUGUUUUUUUUUGUUAUAAAUAAGGAAACGCGACAGUGAGGUUAAAAUUUUUUUUGAUUUGCCGGGUGUAUUUGAGUGUUUUAUUUGGACAUAUAUAUAUAUAGAGAGAGAGAAAACAAUUUUUUUGGGGUCACAGUGAUAGUAAUAAAUUUGUUGAUAAAUAAUAAGUGAAGAAGAACUUUGGAUUCAGUGGUUUCAAGACCGCGAGGUGGGACUUAAGCGUCGGCCGUCGGCUACUCUUGAGACCAAAAGUGUGGAAAGGCCCGAAGAUUCUGCCGUCGCAGCAAUUGGGCGCUGCGGUCGCUCCAUGGCCGGGCGCCACCGGCCUUUUAGCCUCCGUCACCGCUGACGAUAUGGCACAUAAAGGUCACAGCGGGGUUAACCAGCUGGGUGGUGUUUUUGUUGGCGGUAGACCAUUGCCUGAUUCAACAAGGCAAAAGAUUGUUGAAUUGGCUCAUUCAGGAGCGAGGCCUUGUGACAUUUCAAGAAUCCUGCAGGUCAGCAAUGGAUGUGUCUCGAAAAUUCUUGGCAGGUACUAUGAAACGGGUUCAAUUAGACCGAGAGCCAUUGGAGGUAGUAAACCACGAGUUGCAACUGCAGAGGUCGUCAGUAAAAUUUCUCUCUAUAAGAGCGAAUGCCCUUCAAUUUUUGCCUGGGAGAUUCGUGAUCGUUUACUUCAAGAGGGAGUUUGUACCAAUGAUAACAUUCCAAGUGUAUCUUCGAUAAACAGGGUGUUGAGAAAUUUAGCCGCUCAAAAAGAACAGAGGCAACAACAUCAACAACAACAACAAGGUGUAGGAGGCGUAGGUGUUGGUGUAGGUGCCGGAAGUCCAGCUGAAAGUGUUUACGAUAAAUUAAGGCUGCUUAACGGUCAAUCCACCGGCUGGCCGAGACCUAAUCCAUGGUAUCCGUCCGGAGCAGGGAGUCCAUUUCCAACGCUGCAACCAAGUCUAAGUCCGAGCCAUUGUACUGCAUUGCCUCCAGAUACAGCAGAUAUUCUCCAUGCGAAGAAAGUUGCUGAUCUCGAGGGUGGAACACAUUCAGACGAAACAAAUAGCGGCGGUGACAAUAGCAAUGCUGGAAGCAUAUCCGGUGGUACUGACGAUGACCAAGCACGUUUGCGCCUUAAAAGAAAACUCCAAAGGAAUCGCACAAGUUUCAGCAAUGAGCAAAUUGACGCUCUUGAAAAAGAAUUUGAGAGAACACACUAUCCAGAUGUUUUUGCAAGGGAAAGACUUGCUGGCAAAAUCGGUCUACCGGAAGCACGAAUACAGGUCUGGUUUUCAAAUCGUCGUGCAAAGUGGAGGCGCGAGGAAAAAUUAAGAACACAACGGAGGGAUAAUCCACAGCAGCAACAACAUUCUGGAAGUGUUGGUUUAGUAGGAGGACAUCCAACACCACCGCCAUCGAGUAUUAUUAGUGGACAACCACCACCACAGGCGCCACCAUCACCACCAAGAAUACAUCAUGGUUUUGCACCUUCCGUCUAUCCGGGAAUUCCCAGUAUGCCCGAUUCAUACAGUCCAAUGAGUUCGAUGCCAAGUUUCACGAUGUCAGGCGCAAGUCAACAAAAUCAACACACAACCAGUAUGUCAUCAUUAUCGUCAGGCGGUGGAAUGGGCCCAAUGGGAAUGACAGUUGGAAUGACAGUGGGUCCAAGUCCUGGUGCAUGUCUUCAACAGCGUGACAAUGGCUAUUCGUGUGGUGUUGCACGACCAUCGAGCUAUGAACCACUUCAUUUGGGUUAUGGUGCAAGGCCCACUUGCAGUCCAACACAACCUUAUCACACAGCGGGCCUUAAUCAGUACAACCAGAACGCCACCUCGACCGGUGAGUGUCUACCGCACUCACUGCACUCGCUGCUUGCCCUUUAGCCGAUGGAUUAUGGCUACCACGGAUACCGCUAUUGAACCUCAGACAGACCGCACUCUCUAAUCAUAUUCCGGUUUAAUAUCACCCGGUGUGAGUGUGCCAAUCGCAGUGCCAGGGCAACCGGCACCAGAUUUGGCUGCACAAUAUUGGUCUCCAAGGUUACAGUGACCGUGGUGGUCAUCAACAUCGACUUCCACCUCGUAGAACCUUUUUUUUUUUUUUUUAUCUUCUCAACGAGAUUUUCACACAUCAAAUUCGAAAAAAAAUCGUUGUUUCGCUGAUAAAAAAAAGAAAUUCUUUUCUUCAAAGUGCGAAAGUCGUUUUAAUUAUAAAAUAAUCGAUUGGGUCGCGUCUCUUCAAAAAAAAAAAAAAAACCAAUUCUUAAAUUAUGAAGAAAAAUAAAAAAUGUAGCAAAAUUGAAAAGGAAUUUUUUCACACAUAUUAGGAACAAAUUGUACGCAACUAUAUAGUUAUAUUGAAAGUAACAUUUAAAAAAAAAUUAACUCAUCGAUAAUUUUUUCGUUAUUGUUCUUUAAAAGAACACCAUACAUUUUUGUGAUUUUUUUUUUUAAUAAACUUCUUUUUGGAAGUUUCAAAAUGUAUUAUAAUAAUCAGACUUUUUUUUAAUAUAUGAUAAAUAAAUCACCGUUAAGUCGGCCAAUAAGUACGUACACAAUUUUUUAGUUAGGCGCAAUCAUAUUUUUUCGGCCCCAGCGGCACAUUAAAUUGGUACAAAAAUCUUAAUGAUGAUGAUGAUGAUGAUAAUACCGAUGACAUUAAUGCCGAUAAAUUAUUAGCUCGAUCGAUAAUAAUUAUUAACUUUCUUUAAAGAAAGUAAUUUUAACUGAGCUUAUAAAAAAAAGAAAAUGUUAUGCGAUCUGUUAUUUUGUUAUUGCAUUAUUACUAUUAUUAUUAUUAUCAUUGUAACGACUGCAAUUGUGUCAAAUACGCACCCCAGUAAUUUAUAGCACACAAUAACUUAUCCUUUUUUCCCCCGCGUAAUUUCAUUACACAACAUUAAAAAAAGUAAAUCAAUGUUAUUUACUCACCUCUCGUGACAAGCCUCGAAAUAAUCAUUUAAAAAAAGCAUCAAAUGCUAUUUUUCUCUGUAUUUGUUUUUCGAUUUU